rnacentral:rRNA from 1 species
GACGAACGCUGGCGGCGUGCCUAAUACAUGCAAGUUGAGCGCUGAAGGUUGGUACUUGUACCAACUGGAUGAGCAGCGAACGGGUGAGUAACGCGUGGGGAAUCUGCCUUUGAGCGGGGGACAACAUUUGGAAACGAAUGCUAAUACCGCAUAAAAACUUUAAACACAAGUUUUAAGUUUGAAAGAUGCAAUUGCAUCACUCAAAGAGGAUCCCGCGUUGUAUUAGCUAGUUGGUGAGGUAAAGGCUCACCAAGGCGAUGAUACAUAGCCGACCUGAGAGGGUGAUCGGCCACAUUGGGACUGAGACACGGCCCAAACUCCUACGGGAGGCAGCAGUAGGGAAUCUUCGGCAAUGGACGAAAGUCUGACCGAGCAACGCCGCGUGAGUGAAGAAGGUUUUCGGAUCGUAAAACUCUGUUGGUGGAGAAGAACGUUGGUGAGAGUGGAAAGCUCAUCAAGUGACGGUAACUACCCAGAAAGGGACGGCUAACUACGUG